rnacentral:rRNA from 1 species
CAAUAGCGUAUAUUAAAGUUGUUGCAGUUAAAAGCUCGUAGUUGGAUUUCGGAACCGGCCGAUUGGUCCGUCCUCUGGAUCGUGUACUGAUCGGUCUGUUCUUCUUCGCGAAGACCGCGUGUGCCCUUAACUGGGUGGGCGCGGGAUUCGCGACGUUUACUUUGAAAAAUUAGAGUGUUCAAAGCAGGCAUUCGCUUGAAUAUCUCAGCAUGGAAUAAUAGAAUAGGACUUUGGUCCCAUUUUGUUGGUUUCUAGGGCCGAAGUAAUGAUUAAGAGGGACAAUUGGGGGCAUCCGUAUUUCGUUGUCAGAGGUGAAAUUCUUGGAUUUACGAAAGACGAACAACUGCGAAAGCACUUGCCAAGAGUGUUUUCAUUAAUCAAGAACGAAAGUUAGAGGAUCGAAGAUGAUUAGAU